rnacentral:snRNA from 1 species
AUAUGAGAUAUAUAUAUUAAAAUGGAAAUGAUACAGAGAAGAUUAGCAUGGUCCCUGCCUAAGGAUGACAACCAAAUUCAUGCAGUAUUCCACAUUUUC